GGUGGUUCAGUGGUAGAGUGCUUGUCUUGCAUGCAUGAGGCCCUGGGUUCAAUUCCUCAGCACCA
rnacentral:tRNA from 1 species